AGCAAUCUGCCCUUCACUCUGGGAUAACCCCCGGAAACGGGAGCUAAUACCGGAUACGACCACUUCAGGCAUCUGAUGGUGGUGGAAAGUUCCGGCGGUGAAGGAUGAGCUCGCGGCCUAUCAGCUUGUUGGUGAGGUGAUGGCUCACCAAGGCUUCGACGGGUAGCCGGCCUGAGAGGGUGACCGGCCACACUGGGACUGAGACACGGCCCAGACUCCUACGGGAGGCAGCAGUGGGGAAUAUUGGACAAUGGGCGAAAGCCUGAUCCAGCAACGCCGCGUGAGGGAUGACGGCCUUCGGGUUGUAAACCUCUUUCAGCGGGGACGAAGCGAAAGUGACGGUACCCGCAGAAGAAGGACCGGCCAACUACGUGCCAGCAGCCGCGGUAAUACGUAGGGUCCGAGCGUUGUCCGGAAUUAUUGGGCGUAAAGGGCUCGUAGGCGGUCUGUCGCGUCGGGAGUGAAAACACGGGGCUUAACCCCGUGCCUGCUUCCGAUACGGGCAGACUAGAGGUAUGCAGGGGAGAACGGAAUUCCUGGUGUAGCGGUGAAAUGCGCAGAUAUCAGGAGGAACACCGGUGGCGAAGGCGGUUCUCUGGGCAUUACCUGACGCUGAGGAGCGAAAGUGUGGGGAGCGAAAGGGAUUAGAUACCCCCUGUA
rnacentral:rRNA from 1 species